CCGCCCUCCUGGCUCCGGAACGCGGGGCGCCGCCGCCGCCAUGGGCGCGAUGGGUGGGCGCGGGCUGCGCGUGUGCCUGCCUGGCAUCAGACGGCACUGUGACUCCUCCCGAACUCUGAAAUGCAAAGAUGUUCCAUGGACCGCGGCAUCGCCUUUCCUCCCAGGUCCUUCGUACGUUGCCAGCAGGCCCUCGUGGAAUCAGCACCAUUUGGAAAAUGAGAUGAAAGCUGUUUUAUUCCUCUUGCACAGUAAGGAAUGAGAAAUCCUCUUGCCCCAGUUGGUGUUUCGAUAUAAACUGCAUCGACGGUGGAGCCUCCAUUAUCCAGAUGAUUUUGCAGAAACAAAUGGCCAUGGGCUGUGCAGCCCCUUUGUCACCCACUGCAGAUCUACCACCUCCGAUGGGUUCAUAACAGCAGAGCUGAGGGAGAGGAGUGAGGACAAACGCCGGCACUUGUUUGCAUUGCUGCAGAAUACAAAAGGUAACAGAUACACGUGGGGACUUUUCCUCUUGCCCCCAGACUCCGUGUGCUGUGUCAGCUGUCUGCAGUAAAGCUCUGCGUGGACACAGAAGGCUUUUCUUGUGUUGUGCACUGCAGGACCAGAACUGCAUGUUGCAGCCGCUGCAGGAAAUGUCAGCCAGAGCUUGGGCUACAACAGCUGAGUACCAGGUUUUGCUGACCACCAAAAUCUAAUAUCAGGUCCUUGGAAACAAACCACUCCUGUGGAGCAAGGCGAGCGAUGGCAAAGGAAGCACAUUCCUCACAAACUCAAACAGAUGAUCUCCAAAAGACAAAAAGAUCCACACCAAGUAACAAAGAUCGUUCAUUCUCAGUAGUUGGGGAGUAGGAAUACAGAUAACAACAUCUCACCCUGAAACACAAGCAGGUGGAGGAGUGCUGUCCUCCUGCAGCUGCCAGAAUAGCACCAGGAUCACAGAGCAGGGCAGCACCAGGCAGUGCUGGGCUCCAGGGCCCACCAGCUUUCAGCUGAAGGAUGCUGCGGGAUCAGAAGCACUCACGGGCAUCCAGAGGAGCUGGCACAAAGCUUUCCACGUCCUCUGGAUGGAGCAGAGCAGGAUACCCAUUACCGCUCACGUUUUCCUUCCUUGGGAAGGGAAGGAGCAGCACAAGGAGAUUUUUCAAAGCAGUGAAAAUCAAAGAGGUUUUUCCUCACAUAAGAAAAAAUAAUAUAGGAAUGCUUGUUAUUUGAGACUGUUUAACAUCCAAAAGCUACAUUAUAUUGUAACUCAAUUUUGUAUAUAUUUUGACAGUCAUAUUCAUCAACCCUACAAUCAUUCUGAGGAAGCGUGCUGCUUAAAAUUAUGCGUGAGCAGAAAAAGGCAAGGUGGAUAUAUAGCUCACAGAAGGAUUUCACUGCCUACCCCCCAGCUGCUGCGGAGCAUUGACAUCUUUUCUCAGUGGUCUUCUCUCAGAGGGAUCCUUAAGGCACCAGAAUCUCUGCUCUCUGUUACCCCAGCUGAAACAGAGCUGAUGUACGAUCACACCAGUUCAGCUUCUGUAAGUGAGACCGACAUUUGGCUGCUGUUCUGGGGUGUGUUUGUCCAUUUGCUUGAUAAAGCACUGUGCACAUGCUGCUUCCUUCCACUGCACAUCCAAGUAGAGGCCCGGCUUUCAACAGAAGUAAUCAUACAGUACCAACUGCCAGGAAGGCCAUCUUCAAAGUCAGCAUAUAAUUCUCUGGAAACACACACUGCUAUAUAAGCAACAUAUAAAAAUAUAGUGGGACAUUUUUAGAUUCUUUGAAGAUUUAAUGUUAUGCAAGUAGGAAAACUGAGAAUAUUAUAGAGUUACAUGAGAUGCUGAAAAUGAUAUUUACCAGCAAGGUAAUGCAAUAUACCUCUAUUGUGACAUUCAAUAAUUAAAGAGAGGCCCCCAGCAGUGAAUUGGUGGGUGAUUAACUCAUGGCAGCACCAUCCUCAGCCACCAGAGAAGUGGCAGCGCCUGCAGAGGGGCACUGGCAGCUGUGUGCCACAUCCCCAGCCCGGCACCGAAGCACAGCUAGGGAGUGCUUUUGGCAGAACUGAUUUCUCCUUUCUCCGAAUGGAAAUUAACAGAAAAAUGGAGACUGGGCGGCCAUUUCCAGAGACAGGUUUUUUUUUUCCUGGUAGUAGCCUUAGGCUGACUUUCUGGAUUUAAGACAUCAUUCUGCCCCUAAUUCUGCAUAGGUACGAUGGUCUGUUCAGAUAGGAUCUGUAAUUCAGCUCCAGCAGAAAAAAAUAGAGGAAUUUGAAGUUUGGUCUUUAAUGAACAGAAGCCAACAGCUGACAAAUUAAGUACUUUGGAGAAGUGAAAAUUAAACAGUCCUGCAGACACUAGUGUUGGCAUAUGGAAAGCUGCCACUGAGCUAAUAAUAGAUGUGUCUACUGCAGCAGAGAGGGAGGUCCCCAUCGUCCCGGAGCACACCAUACAUCUGGGCACUGGGAAAACAGCCACGAGGCGGUGUCUGUUUGUUGCUUGUUACCUUCCUGCCAGCUAUUCAUCUGCUGCAACUGCUGGCUGAGGGCAGCCAUCCACAGGCAGUGACACUGCACUGCAACGGCACCGGGAUCAGUUCUGCCCACCAGCUCCCAAUUUAGCAGAUGAGUUUCCUGAAGCCACAGAAGCACAGGAGAGUCUUCCACUAGCACACUGCUUGCUGCAGUGCAACUGCUCUACAUAAUUCCCCCAAACUCAGCCAACAGAAUGCAGAAACGUGAGCGUGUGACAACAGCCAUUUCCUCACAUUACUUCAGGUAGCUGUAAAAGCACAAAACUACCUGUGGACUGGGUCUUCCUUACUUAUACCAGCCCAACCCCUCCAUCAUCUCUUUGUGUGCAGUAGAGUCAUGCUGCUGAAAAACAGGAGGAGAACCAGGGUCACUACAUGAAAGAUGGAAAAAAGCAUAGAGAAAUUACAAAUCAGAGAAGGAAAGUGAUUUACAGACAGGUGAUUAAGAAACUCAUCAACUGUAUUUUCGUAAGUAUUCUCUUGUUCAUUAAAGGGAGGAUACAAAUGAACAGGGUGGUGGAACUGCAGGCAGCCGGCAGCAGGGUAACUUAGCUCCAGUUAUUGCCAAAAACACUCCAAGCAAAGAGACCGAAGUACAUGAUGUGCUCCAGCAGCCAGCAGUAAGGAAGGCUGUGUGUACGUUGUACGGCAGUAGGAGGAGGAGCACACUCAUGUGAAACACGCCUCACCCUACAGACGCUCUCCUGGAGAUGACAGAUGAGGUUGAUUCACAGCACUCCUCCCAAAGAGUGUCCCUACACCCUGUAAUACAGAAAGCCAACAAGAGAUAAUGGGCACUAAAGAGCAGAAGUGAGAUAAAGCACUAAAGAGAAGAGAGAGAUAAGGUGCCAGAGAGGAGAUACGCGUGAGUGUGCGCACACAGAGGAACAAGCUCUAAUAUGAAGCAAGGGCAGCCUCUGCCAGUUUUAGCACUGAAUCACUACUUCUCUUCAUAGAGUACACAGCCCAUGAGCUUUUGGAGACUUCUGAGGUAACAAGCCAUGGGGCAAUUUUGGUUGCAUCACAGCUGAGUAAGCUGGAUAAUGAGAUGAGUGGAGAUGAGGCGACUCUGCUGACAUUAAGAACCCAUCGGUCCAGGAAAGGGAAGCUCCUGCACACCCGAACUGCUUUUCAGUCAAGCCUGAUGCUGUUGUCAUUAUGAUGGCAAAUACACAAAGGACUUUUAUUGUAGGUAUAUGCUCUGAAAAACCUGUGCCUCUGCCUGAGACUGUAGCAAGAAAAAGUAACCUUAAUAAGAGCCUGUAAGUUCUGUUAAUGUUUUGGUGCUUCCAAGUCAGUUCAGAAACUAAAAGGCUGUCUGAGAGUUCUGCAUCUUCUAGCUGCUUCCAGCAAGUAGUUGCUGUCUUUCACAUGGGUAAGUCCUCCAUUGGCAGAAUUCAGCUGGCCAUUUUAUCCUUACAGACUCCACCUACUGGCACUGUAUUGUCUACCACUAAAAUAUCACAUCUGGUUGGGUACCAUGAGCUUCACAGAGCUGAUAGCUGCAGCAGAUGAGCUUGCUGAUAGCCUUCCACGUGCCCCUGUGAGCUUGCCAGAGCAAAGAAUCUGACCCCAGCAGCGCUGGCUGCUGGGAACGUGACUGGGACAGAUUUCUUCAGCAUCAGCCAGGUUUUUCCAGGUCUGAUGAGGAAGGGGUGGCUCUCUGGCCUUGCACAAUGUACCACUACAGCAGCCACACUUGUCGCCAUCCAGAAGAACAGGAGAACAGUUCCAGAAGUCUGCUCUUUCCUCAGCACAGGGUGCUAGGCACAGCCGCAGAAAGGUUUUGGCACCAUGAAGGUGCCCUGGCCUCCCCUGGCUGCCACUCACACGACUACUCAGACCUGCGCCUCAUCUCCCUUUGCUUACUUUAUAUCCUUCUCCACUGCUGAGCCCUUUGGUCCCUUUGUGCCCUCCUGGCUUGAACAGGGCACGAUAUGGGCACAGCAUGAGGAACCCGAGACAGGCAGAGGAGUGCAAGAGGUCCCAUGUGCUGCACCCCUGGGAAGGUGACACUUCUCCAUGCAGAGCAAUGGCACUGACACCACACAGAGCAGCAGUCCUUGAGUUAAAAUAGCAGCAACACUGACAGUACUCACAGGUCCCAGAAAGGAAAGGUGAUGCAGAAUUGUCUUGUUCACAUUUUCCAUACUGGGAACCAGCACAAACGUUGUCUGCUUCAAUCAUCCUCUGCAAUAUGUGAUACUCUGCCUCAAGAUUACACAAAUAAAAAAAAAUACCCACAGUACUCCAUUUGUUUUCUCCAGGAAGAGCUCAAAACGCAACAAAAUCCAGCCCCUCUGUAUUGUUCUUCACAAGCUCCAAAGUGUUCAGCUGCUCAAGAUAUAUCACAUUACAGCCCAGGGAUGUACCCAUCCUCUGAGUAAGGAGGGCCAUCACCCCACAGCCAGCUGCUGCAGGACACGUGCUCUGUGCAUCUCAGGGCCAGCAGAGCUCCCAGCCAGCCCUGGCUUCUCUCAUAUUCACAUCAAACUACAGCUCAGAUCAGGGACAAAAUAUAUUUUCAGAGCUUUGAGAAAAAUAGGGUUUUUGUUUGUCCUCCCCCCCUCUCUUUCUUCAAAAUGACUCACAUCCUGUAAUAAUGAGCAAAGGACACCAACUGCAAUCUCUUUGUGAGAAGUAGCCUCAAGAAAUCUUACGGUGUUUUAGACAUUCAAAAUAAAAAACUGAUGAUUUCACAGCGUUAGUCAGCAAUAACUUCAGGAAGGCGUAUUGGAAGUCAAACAAAUCCUAAAGGUGUUGAUCUGAUUGGGAAUCUGACAGUUCCACAUCUUGCGGCAGAAAGCUGAAAACAACAGAAGGACACAGCAACAAAACACACACGAGAGUAAGAUCCAGUGGAAAAAAAGAUCUGACUUAGUAAAAACAAGACAGGAUACAGCAUCGGCCUUGUCCUAAAGAGAGAUUUCUUUGGCUUUUCCUAGUUUCUGAGGGCAAAAAGUGUGUUUUUCUUCCUUUCCGAGGGGCUGGAUUGAGGCUGUGCUGCUGGUGGGAAGAGCAGGUAGGGCAGAUGGCCGCGGGACCCCCACUCUGGGAUCUCCUCUCCCUGCUACUGCAUGGUUUGAGCGUGGCUUCAGAGCUGUGGAGGACUGAAACACUCAGUGCCCUCCUGGGCCCACGAUGUGCAGCUGUCCCAGGCAUGAGCUCAGCGGUGCAGAGGAGACAGCAGCAAAUUCUCUCUCUCUCUUUCUCCAUGAUCAGCCCAGCAAAGAACAAGAUAACUUGCUGUUCGCACUACUUUUGGUUCAUUUGGCUGCAUUCUAGAACAGACACAAUUAGGCAGAUUUUUAAAUGAACAAAUUGUUUAGGUUUCUCAUUAAAGUUGGUUCAACAAGAUUGCUUCAGUGACUGAAAAGCCAGCACUGGGGGUCUUACAGACCUGCACUGGGCUGAACUGCAGCAGUUUGCCUGCUGGCUGCAUGCAAGGCUCUUCUGGGGAAAACAGCACCCACAGUAACAAGCUCUUAGGCCACGACAGGACGAACUGCAGUUUCCUGUAAUGUAACAGCUGCUCCGGAUUUCUUCCUAAUCUGCAUUGCACGCAGCAUAGAGAUUUCAGUAGCCAUGAUCUUACUUCGGUGCAGAACAUGAUUUCCUUUCACACACACACGAGGUCCCUGGAGCCAAUUUGCACAGUGCCCAGAGGCCCCAGCACGGACUCCCAGCUGCAGAGGUCUGCUCCUGCCCUCCAUGUCUUCUGUGUAUGCCUGCAGUGCACAGCUGCCCCUGACAGGCAUGUGCAUCAGCAGUUUGGAAACAAAAUAAAGGAUGGGGAACAUGCCUGUCCUGGCUCCAUCCAUUAUGUGGCUCCAUCAUUACAAGAAUCAACAAGCUUUCUGUCCUGCUCCACACAGCGUUAAAGCAAAUGCAAUGAACCUAAACUUGUCAGUAACCACAAAUGCACCUAAUCCACCAAAAAACAGGGAGCUGAGCCUGCAGGACAAGCUGCUCUCAGAAGUCCCAAGUCUGGAGACAGAGGAAAAUGCAGAGCACCACUUCUAGAAUAUUUUGUGUGGUAGGAGACCAUGUAAUCAGUGUACCAGAGUCAGAUGAGUACAGAAUCAGCAUUAGAAGCUGAAUCAUUUCCAGGAUAGGAGAGAUUUAUCCUAUACUGCUCCCUAUUAAAGUCUUACACAGUGUACUACCUACUCAGUAAACCCAAGAAAUUAAUUGACUCUGGCACAAAUGAACAGAUGAUAAAGAAGAUCCAAUAAGAAGACUUGGGAGAUAAAAACCUCUUUGUAUCUCCAUCGUGGGAGCUGGACCAAGGAUGAGGUUGGGCCCUGCCCUGCACAGCGUGCGCUUUCCAUCACUGCCGCAGCCUCUUUCUUGCCUGGAUACACCACACUCCUCGGGGUGAAUCAGGGCUCCCUCACAUCAUGCAAGAGCCAGCAAAGAGCAUACGAGCCUGAAGCCACAAGUCUGAAGCUACUGAACACAUGACAAUAUAAAGCAAGUCUGAAGCUUAAAGCAUGGGUUUUAGGAGCUAAACAGUUGUGCCCAGCACUGUGAUCUGUCGUUACUCUGCUGUUGUUGGUCCACCAGAGCUUAAAAUAGGCUGAGCAACAAGAUAAACAACUGUAAAAAUCCCAGGCUGCUGCCAGCAGAUACUUGGGAGGCCGCAGCAUCACACGGUUUUGCUUCACUUCCAGUUACUGCAUUAUUUGUAGAAGUCUCCAUUAUAAUUCAGGAACACACUGAACCCAAGUGUUGAUGCAGCCAGAGAAAAACUUCAUGCUGCAGAAGAAUCCACACACCGCAUGCAAUGCUGCAUCAGCCCAGCUCCAGUGCUGCAGGCAGACCAUGCAUGAGAUCAUGGUCUACAACCUUCCCAGAUUCUCCGAAUUCACCCUGUCGAGGGCAGGUAGUUCUCAUGCUUCAGCUGCUGCCGUCACAGGCUUUGUUAGUGCUGGAGGCUGAGGCUUUGUAAGGAGCCACGGGAGUUCAGGACAUUCUGUUCAGAACGCCAAAGGCGCUGAAUAACCACUUACAUUUGCAUGUGCCUAAACAUAGCCUAAACAAACUGCAAAUAGCAGGAAUAGGGUUAGCACUGAGAAGCACAACUAAAAGCAACGAAUACCCAUUAAUGAUUUGGUACUUUUCCAGAAAGGCUAGAACACAGACUAUCAAAAAGAAUACGUGAAGUGGUAUUUUUGUACAGACAAUGGAGGAAACAACAAACAAAAAGCCCACAGUCACAAAGGGUAAAGAUUUGAGAUGUUUGCUGCAAACUUCAAAGCGUAGUUUUAACCAGUCAGUAUGCUUUAUGAGAUUAUCCCAAGAUAAGAUAAUCUGUUAAGCACUGUUUCUGGAGUUCUGACUAUUUGCUAGACAUGCACAAUCUCUUUGCUGCCUGAGCUCAAACGCUUUUCUCUGCUGCAGCAGCGGCAGCUCACAAAGAGGCAGCCAGCUUACAGCAGAGCCUCUGCAUUAUGAAUCACACCAUGUGCAGCAGAAGGCAGGCUGCAGUGCUCAGGGUGGGCUACAGAGAGCCAGAAGACCCGGGGUGCUCCUCCUGGUGCUGCCCAUGGUUUGACAGACGAUCGUCAGAGCGGCCCUCAUCGCAUACAUCUGUUUCUCAGCUUCCAUAUGCUAAGCAUCAGCAGUACAGCAGAACACCCCAGGGGUUGCUCACCUUAAGAAGUCAAAGAAGGGGAGAAUGAGAACAUCUGAAAAGGAAAGGAAAUAAUUUGGCGCAUCAUGAGGCAUUUACAUUUCUGAUUUCAGAGGCAAUUCAGGCUGCACUUUAGAACACAGGCUCUGACCCAUGUAACAGAAGAGAAGGGAAACGUUAAAAAUGUAACAGCACUCCUUACAAUUAUUUCAAACCACCCCCCCCGAGCGUCUGGUAAGGCAGGCUGUAGUUACUGCAGUGAGGCUCAUGAAGCGUCUGGAUGCUGUGAGCACUGCUGCCUCUGCUAUACCUGACCAGAUUCACCCUCAGAGCCUCCCUGAGCAAGGGAAGUAGGGCACUGAGUGCGGUUCAUUGCAGAGAUGGCUGCAGAAGAAUAUUCCCAUAGUUAAAGAUAGUCCGUGUCAGUGGAUCCGGUGAUGCACGCAGUGAUUUUUAAAGAAGCCCCGCCCGGUAACAGCGCAGGAUGCAGCCUACCGGCGGCACAGAGGAAUUCCCCCUCGGAGCCGAUUCGGCACAGGCAGCGCUGCAGAGCAGCAGGCAGCACUCUGCCGGCCGGGAUGCGUCGACACCAGAGGAGCUCCCGACAGUCUCCAGCUGCAGCAGACAGCGUGUCGUGCAGCCCGGCCCCCCAGCCUCCCCGUCAGCCUGUAAUCAGCUGCACUGUACAUGUGCACCAGCCUCGAGAACAUAGCAACAGGUGUACUUUGAAACCUGAAAGGUCCUUAGUUCAUUUAAGCCCUUGGCAGGAAGCCACAGCAGAAGGUCCAUUAGCACAGCUGUUGAAGCAGAGGGACUUACAAUGGCCACACCUGUUCCAUCACCACUGAACACCCACAAUGCUCCUCACUCCCACUUUCUGCCCAGUACACAGUGUGACAGACCCUGAGCAGCACAAAAUCCAAGUACAGCUCCAAAUGACUUCAGAAGCAUUAGCUCCACAUUGUGGCAGGAUUUCUUCCUGCUGUGACAGAAGGCUCUGCCGAACACACCACAAGACCGUAUCCGCUGUAGAUUCCAGUAGGGAGCAUUCACUUACUCUUCUCGGCAGGAUGGAAGAGACAUUCCCAUUUUACAGACAGAAAAAGAAGCCCCUCAUGAUGGCAAGGAUUUAAACGAGCAUUUUCUCAGUCAAAAGAUAGGCUUUUUAAAAAUUAUUUUUAAAGCUAAGGAUCACUUGUGUUUUUUCUGUAAGAAAGUGAGAUGAGGACUUGAACCUUUCUGAGUGGAACUACUCAGUCCUGACCACCACGUGCCAAUCCCGUUCGGCUUUGCUACUUCUCCCAUUUAUAGAAGCUUCCUUGAUAAGCAUUUCAUCCAAGCCACUGGUAACUGCAGUCUGAUGUCAGAGGCUUGAGUUCUGUCUUUUAGGUAGAUCUAAUGGAUUUCAACCUCUCCACUGCAGUCAGAAGCAGGAUUUUUUCCUAGGAAAAAUCCAUUGCCACUGAGCUAGAUCUUUUAUUCUUCUUCAUAUAAAUAUAUAUAUAUUUAAGUUCAGAUUCAUGAACAAAGAUUGAAAUGAGCAAACCGUUUGUAUCAAGAAGAGAGAAAACCCUAUUUCUCAUUCUUCAGCAGCCGUUCCUGACAUGUCAUUUCGCAGAUGAAAAGGCUUUUUAUGUAGAACCUGAUACAGAGACUGAAAUGACUCGCAGAGCAUUCCAUUAAAAGGAAAACAUCCCACAGUACAGCAGUUGUGUACAUUUCUCUUGCUGUGGAACAAAACAGCAGUUUUUACUGCUAUGAUCUCCAAAUCCAACAGUAUUAUGUAUUUUAUCAAUGUACGAAUACUGAUGGGGGAAGAGAACAGAGCUCUUCUCCAUGGUGUCCAGUGACAGGGCAACAUGCAAUGGGCACGUACUGAAGCACGAGUAAAUCUGUUGAAGUAUAAGAGGAAAAUCUUUUUGCUGUGGGGCUGAUCAGACACCAGGACAGGUUACGCAGGGACGCCGAGUAAUCUUCAUGCUCAGGAGAUAUUCAGCAGCGACCGACAGUGUCCUGCCUAACUUGCUCUCAUUGCCCCACUUUGAAGAAUUCACUAGGUGACCUGCAGAGGUCCCUUCCAACCUCAGCUAUCCUUUAAUUGUGAGUAAUGAGAAGAAUGUGAUUUGCUUAGUCUAGAAAGGGAAAGCUGGAGGUAGGCAUAAUGGAUCCCUUUGAAGCAGACAGAUCUCUACGUGUACUGACCAAGACAGAUGAAGCAGUAACAGGCUAGCUGUAGGGAAAGAAUGGCACAUAUUUAUGUUCCACAGGUAGGAGUAUUUAAGUGCUGGAAUAGCCCAUGGAAUCUUAGCAGCAAACUUAAAAAGGAAAACAUGUGAAGAGCCAUUGGGAAUGGCCUAGGUGUUAUCAAUUUUGCUUCAGAGAAUCUGAAUAUUCUACUGCUUGGAUCAGCACUUUCCAAGCACAAAAUAGGCAGCUUCAGCAUUUGUGCCUUCAGUGAGUGAAGUCACCACCACGGCAAGGAGGACACAGCAGGCAGGAAGAAGGAUCUUUGGACAAAGGUUCUCAAAGAAGGAAGGUGCACAAAGACAGAUGGAGAGCUGCAGGAGCCAGAGGGCGUAAUCAUCGUGUCUUAUCAUCAUCAGACCAGAAACCAAGAUGACAGCGCUCCUUAGAGUGACGGGAAAGAAAAGCCUCCAUUAAAUUGGGUAACUGGGGAGAAAAAAGCCUCCAAGUUUAUUCCUGCCAGCAAACUAGCUUCUCUAUGUCCUGUAGCACACACAGAGUACACCAGUCCUAGACAGGAGAAAAUGUCAACAUUUUUUCUGUGAUCCCACGAGAAAAGACUUUAUGUUGUAGGAAGGCUUUGUAAUUGCAAAGAAAGCUCAAUGGAAGAGACAGGGAAGAAAGGAAAUCUGAUGUCAAGACUCUGAUGAAUUUAACUUGUUAGUAUAAAUGUACAUACUGCACAUUUAAGCAGAAAUCCAAUAUCCUAAAAAUAUCCCCAGUACAGCCUGAGAACAGAAGAUUGUUGCCUUGCUAAACACCAGCCUCACUCCAGCUGAUUCUUGCGUUUUCACAGUAUUGCAAGUUAUGAACUCCUUCAAACUCUGGAAUACACCAUCAGGAAAAAAAAAAGAACAAAACCGAGAACAGUUUAAUUAUCUGAAAGUCAAAUCUGCAAAGGAACAGCCUACCUGACACCAGCACUGACACAGCAUUCAUACAUUCCACCACUGCUCACUCGGAUGUUUCCCUAAAAUGUUCAUUUAUUUUAGUGUACAUUUACUUUAAUAAAUGGAUAUUCAAUACAUGAAUUGGUGUUUCUGAAGACACCUUUUUUUUUUUUUUCUCUGUAAAACAAUUGAGAAAUUCAGACUAGCAUCUCCUCAUGAGUAUCUU
ensembl:lncRNA